AGCAGUAGCCGCGGGAAUACAGAGGGUGCAAGCGUUAAUCGGAAUUACUGGGCGUAAAGCGCGCGUAGGUGGUUUGUUAAGUUGGAUGUGAAAUCCCCGGGCUCAACCUGGGAACUGCAUCCAAAACUGGCAAGCUAGAGUAUGGUAGAGGGUGGUGGAAUUUCCUGUGUAGCGGUGAAAUGCGUAGAUAUAGGAAGGAACACCAGUGGCGAAGGCGACCACCUGGACUGAUACUGACACUGAGGUGCGAAAGCGUGGGGAGCAAACAGGAUUAGAUACCCCCGUAGUCCCUGUCUCUUAUAC
rnacentral:rRNA from 1 species